rnacentral:piRNA from 1 species
UGUGCUGAGAUUGCUCACAAUGUGUCCUC